rnacentral:tRNA from 1 species
GGGUUCGUAGCUCAGCCAGGUAGAGCGUCUGGCUCUUAACCAGUCUCAAAAAGGGUUAAAAUGUCGUGGCUCCGAAUCCCACCGAACCCG